rnacentral:rRNA from 1 species
GACGUAGGAGGCGAGCGUUGUCCGGAUUUACUGGGCGUAAAGCGCGCGCAGGCGGUCGCGCAGGUCAUCUGUGAAAGCACCCGGCUCAACCGGGCUGAUGCGGGUGAAACCGUGCGACUUGAGGGCGGGAGAGGUCGGUGGAAUUCCCGGUGUAGUGGUGAAAUGCGUAGAUAUCGGGAGGAACACCCGUAGCGAAGGCGGCCGACUGGACCGAUCCUGACGCUGAGGCGCGAAGGCCAGGGGAGCGAACGGGAUUAGAUACCCCGGUAGUCCUGGCAGUAAACGAUGUCGACUGGUCGUUGGGGGGCUCGACCCCCUCAGCGGCGGAGCUAACGCGGGAAGUCGACCGCCUGGGGAGUACGGCCGCAAGGCUAAA